CAGCCCUGUCCCAGGAAAUGCUACUGGUCACCAUGGUUACCAUUUACUGGGCACUCACUGUGUACCAGGCACUGUUCAAAAUCUGCCUGUGUUUUUUCACUGGAUCUUCACAGAUAAUUUGAUUAUGGAGGCAUUGUUACUUCCUCUUCUUUAGAGCUGAAGACACUGGCACAAAGAGGUUAAGAAGUCUACCUGGUGUCACAUAGACAAGAAACAGUGGAGCCAGAACAGGAAAGUGGAUCUCUGGGCACCUGACACCCAAAGGGAAGAGAAAAAAAGCCACUGUGGACACUUGGUCAUCUGCAGAAUCAGAGAAUUGGUGUUGGGAAAGACACCGCUUAUUUGGUGUUGGGAGGAAAACAAGCCUCUCACCUGGAGAACAAACUCCUAAGGGACAAGAGCAAACUAGAUAUAGAAGGAGCCACACUGGAGCUGAAGUCCUGGAUAGGAGUAAGUCAUGAGUUCCUAUUCCAUUGAUUAUGGGAAGAAAGAGUGAGCUCUCUAGGACAAACCUAACCUAUUGUGUGGGAAGUCAGGCAUUGGGGCCAUAGGAUGAAUGU
rnacentral:lncRNA from 1 species